rnacentral:rRNA from 1 species
AUGAACGCUGGCGGCGUGCCUAAUACAUGCAAGUCGAGCGAACGGACGAGAAGCUUGCUUCUCUGAUGUUAGCGGCGGACGGGGGAGUAACACGUGGAUAACCUACCUAUAAGACUGGGAUAACUUCGGGAAACCGGAUCUAAUACCGGAUGAUAUUUUGAACCGCAUGGUUCAAAAGUGAAAGACGGUCUUGCUGUCACUUAUAGAUGGAUCCGCGCUGCAUUAGCUAGUUGGUAAGGUAACGGCUUACCAAGGCAACGAUGCAUAGCCGACCUGAGAGGGUGAUCGGCCACACUGGAACUGAGACACGGUCCAGACUCCUACGGGAGGCAGCAGUAGGGAAUCUUCCGCAAUGGGCGAAAGCCUGACGGAGCAACGCCGCGUGAGUGAUGAAGGUCUUCGGAUCGUAAAACUCUGUUAUUAGGGAAGAACAUAUGUGUAAGUAACUGUGCACAUCUUGACGGUACCUAAUCAGAAAGCCACGGCUAACUACGUG